GUGUCCUUUUUAAUUAGGUAGAAUAACUUAUGUUACUUUAAAAAAAAGCCAAAACAUUAUAGAUCAUUUAUUCCUUCUCUUGAAUGAAUUUUACAGUUCUUUGACUAUUCAGAACUUUUUCUUGUUGCUGGAAAGUGAAUUGUUUACAAAAGUGAGGGUAGUAUAGAGUAUUUCAUAUUUAAUAUUUUGAUGCAUCCUAUUGGUGGCAUACUUAAAAUUGGUAUAUCUAGUUCUUAGAUGUUUGAAUUCAUUUUACAGAAGAGUCUGCAGAGGAAUCGGUUGCUAUCAGCAUUGCACAAAUGGAAAAACGUGUACUCCAUGGCUUAAUUCAUAAUGUUCUGCCAUAUGUUGGUACCUCUGUAAAAACUUUAGUGUUAGCGUACAGCUCUGCAGUCUCCAGCAAAAUGGUUAGGCAGAUUUUAGAGCUUUGUCCUAACCUGGAACAUCUGGAUCUUACCCAGACCGACAUUUCUGAUUCUGCAUUUGACAGUUGGUCUUGGCUCGGUUGCUGCCAGAGUCUUCGGCAUCUUGAUCUGUCUGGAUGUGAAAAAAUCACAGACAUGGCUCUAGAGAAGAUUUCUAGAGCUCUUGGAGUUCUGACAUCUCAUCAGAGUGGCUUUCUGAAAAGUGCAGGCAAGGCUGCUUCAACUCCAUGGACAAGUAAAGACAUU
rnacentral:lncRNA from 1 species